rnacentral:sRNA from 1 species
GUGCUGCCUGGCGCUGGCUAGGAGGCAAACGCACGCGGGAAGAGCUGCUACCCAUUCCAGGGACCCUGCCGCUGCCCCUCUGAGGGGUCUGCACCUUCUGGGAGCAGUGGCCUGAUCAUGGCUCACUGCAGCCUCCAACUACUGGCCUCAAGUGAUCCUCUUGCCUUGGCCUCCUGAAGUCCUGGAAUUAUAGGCGUGAGCCACUGCACCGGGCCCAUUUAAUACUCUGAGCCCCACCUUUCCCAUCUGUGGAUGGAGCCCCAUGUGGAACCCAAGGACGCAGCUGCUCUGCUAACACGGCAGCCCAUCCUUCGAGACUGUGACCUCGCCACAGUGGCCCUCAGCCCUCCACCUCCGGCGGGGGCGAGGGCCACCCACCUCCAAGUCUCCAGCCAUGACGACCUCCGCACUCCGGCGCCAGGUGAAGAACAUCGUGCACAACUACUCCGAGGCAGAAAUCAAGUGGCCUUCACCGAGGUCAUGGGCAUGCUGUGGCGGCGGCUCAAUGAC